rnacentral:lncRNA from 1 species
GAGUUAGGUAUUUGAUGUGUGUGAUGUUAAAGGUCCAAGAGUGAAUAGGCUUUUGGGUUGUUAAUAUUAUACCUUCAAUUUAUCUAACUAUCUAUCCUUUUGUUUCUUUGUAAUCGUGUAGUAGUGUUGAUGUUGUAACCGUGUGUUUGUGUUGUUAAUGUGGAAUCCGAAAUUAGUCUAUUGUUCAUCUUGUUCUUGUUGUGUUGCUA